rnacentral:lncRNA from 1 species
UGACCAUUCACGGCUCACGAACAUACCGUAGAAUUAAAAUGGUUUGAGUCAUAUUUAACAAAUAGAGAACAGCAAUGUAAUGUUAAUGGAGAAUUAUCUAGUAAUAAAAUUAUCACCUGUGGAGUGCCCCAGGGAUCUAUACUGGGACCACUGCUAUUCCUAUUAUAUAUUAACCCUUAGGGAGCCGAAUUGUUUUUUAUGAAUAUUUUAAUGUUCAACUUAUUUGCAUUGAUUUAUUUUUUUGGAGACAAUCAAUGAUCCUAUAUACACAUAUUAUAUAUCAUUUUGAAGCUAUAGCUAUAAACUUCUUGAAUAUUGGUAUCGCAAAGAGUCG